CCUACGGGGGGCUGCAGUGAGGAAUAUUGGUCAAUGGGCGCAAGCCUGAACCAGCCAAGUCGCGUGAGGGAUGACGGUCCUAUGGAUUGUAAACCUCUUUUGUCGGGGAGCAAGGCCCGCCACGUGUGGCGGGAAGGAGAGUACCCGAAGAAAAAGCAUCGGCUAACUCCGUGCCAGCAGCCGCGGUAAUACGGAGGAUGCGAGCGUUAUCCGGAUUUAUUGGGUUUAAAGGGUGCGUAGGCGGAAGGUUAAGUCAGCGGUAAAAUGUCGAUGCUCAACACCGGCCUGCCGUUGAAACUGGUCUUCUUGAGUGAGCGAGAAGUAUGCGGAAUGCGUGGUGUAGCGGUGAAAUGCAUAGAUAUCACGCAGAACUCCGAUUGCGAAGGCAGCAUACCGGCGCUCAACUGACGCUGAGGCACGAAAGCGUGGGGAUCGAACAGGAUUAGAUACCCUUGUAGUC
rnacentral:rRNA from 1 species